rnacentral:rRNA from 1 species
UACGUAGGGGCAAGCGUUAUCCGGAUUUACUGGGUGUAAAGGGAGCGCAGACGGAACUGCAAGUCUGAUGUGAAAGCCCGGGGCUCAACCGCGGGACUGCAUCGGAUACUGUGGAUCUGGAGUGCCGGAGGGGCAAGCGGAAUUCCUGGUGUAGCGGUGAAAUGCGUAGAUAUCAGGAGGAACACCGGCGGCGAAGGCGGCUUGCUGGACGGCAACUGACGUUGAGGCUCGAAAGCGUGGGGAUCAAACAGGAUUAGAUACCCU